rnacentral:tRNA from 1 species
GGGGGUAUAGCUCAGUGGUAGAGCAUUUGACUGCAGGUCAAGAGGUCCCAGGUUCAAAUCGUAGUAACCCCU